UUGGCAUUCUGUCCACCU
rnacentral:miRNA from 1 species